rnacentral:rRNA from 1 species
GAGAGUUUGAUUCUGGCUCAGGACGAACGCUGGCGGCGUGCCUAAUACAUGCAAGUCGAACGCUUCUUUCUUAUCGAACUUCGGUUCACCAAGAAAGAGGAGUGGCGGACGGGUGAGUAACACGUGGGUAACCUGCCCUUUAGCGGGGGAUAACACUUGGAAACAGGUGCUAAUACCGCAUAAUCUUUUUUCUCGCAUGAGUAAAAAGUGAAAGACGCUUUUGCGUCACUAAAGGAUGGACCCGCGCUGCAUUAGCUAGUUGGUGAGGUAACGGCUCACCAAGGCCACGAUGCAUAGCCGACCUGAGAGGGUGAUCGGCCACACUGGGACUGAGACACGGCCCAGACUCCUACGGGAGGCAGCAGUAGGGAAUCUUCGGCAAUGGACGAAAGUCUGACCGAGCAACGCCGCGUGAGUGAAGAAGGUUUUCGGAUCGUAAAACUCUGUUGUUAGAGAAGAAUAAGGAUGAGAGUAGAAAGUUCAUCCCUUGACGGUAUCUAACCAGAAAGCCACGGCUAAU